rnacentral:rRNA from 1 species
GUGUCAGCAGCCGCGGUAAUACGGAGGGGGCUAGCGUUGUUCGGAAUUACUGGGCGUAAAGGGUGCGUAGGUGGUUUGAUAAGUUGGCUGUGAAAUACCGGGGCUUAACCUUGGGGCGUCAGCCAAGACUGUCGGGCUUGAGUAUAGGAGAGGGCAGUGGAAUUUCCGGUGUAGCGGUGAAAUGCGUAGAGAUAGGAAGGAACACCAGUGGCGAAGGCGUCUGCCUGGCCUAAUACUGACACUGAGGCACGAAAGCGUGGGUAGCAAACAGGAUUAGAUACCCUGGUAGUCCACGCUGUAAACGAUGUCAACUAGCUGUUGGGGACAUAAAGGUUCUUAGUGGCGCAGCUAACGCGAUAAGUUGACCGCCUGGGGAGUACGGUCGCAAGAUUAAAACUCAAAUGAAUUGACGGGG